CCUACGGGUGGCAGCAGUGGGGAAUAUUGGGCAAUGGAGGCAACUCUUACCCAGCAAUGCCGCGUGAAUGAAGAAGGUCUUCGGAUUGUAAAGUUCUUUAAUUGGGGACGAAAAAAAUGACGGUACCCAAUGAAUAAGCCCCGGCUAACUACGUGCCAGCAGCCGCGGUAAUACGUAGGGGGCAAGCGUUGUUCGGAAUGACUGGGCGUAAAGGGUGUGUAGGGGGUGAAGCAAGAUAGAAGAGAAAUACCUAGAGCUUAACUCAGGUGUGGCUUCUCAAACUGCUAUACUUGAGUGGAGUAGAGGAAAGUGGAAUGCGGAGUGUAGGGGGGAAAUGCGGAGAUAUUAGGAAGA
rnacentral:rRNA from 1 species